rnacentral:snRNA from 1 species
AUCGUUUCUCGGCCUUUUGGCCCAGAUCAAGUGUAGUGCCUGUUCUUAUCAGCUUUGAAAUAGCCAAAGGCUGCAGAAGACAGAACACGUAGCAAUUUUA